AUCGUGAGCAUUGUCCGCGUUUAUUCGUGUCAGAAAAGGACGCGCAGGGCCUGCCUAUCAGGAAUCCUUUCUGCUCACAGAAUGAGCACAAUUAGCAGGGAAGCACAUAAAACAGCCUCUUACCUCAGGGCCUGUCGAGAUGAUGCCCCUUUAGAAAGAAGCAAUGUGUACCACAAAGGAGCAGCCCGCUUGGAUGUAACAGGCCGUGAGGCUCUGCGGGAUUGUACUUACAGAGCCCCCCUCCCCAGAAAGGACAUUUCGGACCACAGGCAAGCCACACGCUCCCCCCCACCUGGCCCUGUACUUCAUUACGGCUUUUCAGGGGGCUGUGGGGACAUAGGCCCUCCAGCAAAGAGUGGCACCAGGGAGCAGGAAAGGAGAGCAGGACGCUGGGAGGAGAGUUCCUCCAUGAUCUCCACCGCCUUGCUCUGCAGCCAGAGCUGAUCUCCGCCUCCACGCUCUCCGGCCAGAGCUGAUCUCCGCCUCCAACGCUCUCCGGCCAGAGCUGAUCUCCGCCUCCACGCUGUCCGGCUAGAGCUGAUCUCCGCCUCCACGCUCUCCGGCCAGAGCUGAUCUCCGCCUCCCCGCUCUCCGGCCAGAGCUGAUCUCCGCCUCCACGCUCUCCGGCCAGAGCUGAUCUCCGCCUCCACGCUCUCCGGCCAGAGCUGAUCUCCGCCUCCACGCUCUCCGGCCAGAGCUGAUCUCCGCCUCCACGCUCUCCGGCCAGAGCUGAUCUCCGCCUCCACGCUCUCCGGCCAGAGCUGAUCUCCGCCUCCACGCUCUCCGGCCAGAGCUGAUCUCCGCCUCCACGCUCUCCGGCCAGAGCUGAUCUCCGCCUCCACGCUCUCCGGCCAGAGCUGAUCUCUGGCCAUCACCCAAACCAGGCUGGCACCACAAAACAAGCAGGCUUAGGGCGCCGUGCAGAGACCAGCCAGGCAUGUGAGCAGAUCCCACUGCGUGAACAUGGACGGCCCAACCAGCCCAGGACGGUAUCAUGUGUUACAACAAGGACACACACACACACACACACACACACACAACGAGGCGUUUGAACUAAACCAGCACAUCCAUGGCUCUGUGAAAGUAGACCGGUGAUUGGCUGGCUUAAAUGACUUAAGUGCUGAGUAUCUGAGGUAUCUAAGCAAACCUUGAUGGCAUCUAUACUCAUAAUACUAUUCUUACCUUCAUACUUCAUUUCGAAUGUCCAGUUCUGGUACUCAGGCCCAGUGUGGUCCAGUUAGGCCCUGUGAGAUCCAGUCAGGCUCUGUGAGGCCCAAUCGUAUAGGUACCAUGUUCAGCUGUGGAUAGAUUUGUGGUUGACGACCCAGGCCCCCAAGUUUGAGCAGUGGAUCAGGAUGUUGCUCCUAGAUGUGGCAGCACAGGCCUGGCUAGGAGGCACAGCAGAGACGUACUGGCAACACACUGGUGAGUACGCUCCUGACGUGGACGGGAAUGAGACCCGACAGCAAGAUUAAGGACAGAGGAAGGAGCCUAUUUCACGGCUGAUUUGGUUUAAUAUCUAGGCAGCAGCAGGAGAGCUGGCAAGUUCACUCUCGAGUGAGGAAGGAGAGGGGGAUGCGGGGACGCAGGACGGGAGAAACAAGAGAGAAGUAGAAGACGCCCGUGGUUAGCCUAAGGAUAGGUGGCACACUAGAAGGUAUCCCAAA